rnacentral:rRNA from 1 species
UACGUAGGGCGCGAGCGUUGUCCGGAAUUAUUGGGCGUAAAGAGCUCGUAGGCGGCUUGUUGCGUCUGCCUGUGAAAGCCCGGGGCUUAACCCCGGGUCUGCAGUGGAUACGGGCAGGCUAGAGGUAGGUAGGGGAGAAUGGAAUUCCCGGUGUAGCGGUGAAAUGCGCAGAUAUCGGGAGGAACACCGGUGGCGAAGGCGGUUCUCUGGGCCUUACCUGACGCUGAGGAGCGAAAGCGUGGGGAGCGAACAGG